AUCUCUGUCCCUCUAACUCUGUUCUGUCUCUCUCUCUCUGGCCCUCUAACUCUGUUCUACCUCUUCACAGAUGCUGAGUCCUCUGUUUCUGCACUGAGAUGGCUGUUACAUGUAACUGUGUUUCAUACAUUCACAGAUGCUGAGUCCUCUGUUUCUGCACUGAGAUGGCUGUUACAUGUAACUUUGACUCCAUUCAAAUAAAUCCUAAGAGUUACAGAACACGUACAAGACAUGGAUGUACUGUGUGUGAGUUUAUGUGUUUGUGUGUGUCUGGUUUGGAUGAUGGGUACUGAUGGUGUUUGUUGUUGUCUCAUGUGUUUCCAUAGUUACGGACCAGUAUAUGCUGCGGACCCCUACAACCACCCACUUGCUCCAGCAGCCACAUACAGCAUUGGUGCCAUGAAUCCGUUUGCCCCGUUGGCUGAUGCCAAGACGAGGAGUCAUGCUGACGACGUGGGGCUGGUGUUGUCCUCCCUGCAGGCUAGUAUAUACAGGGGAGGUUACAGCCGCUUCGCCCCAUACUAACCCACCAACCAACCUCCCUAAAACCAUACAACAACCAAUUACUACCCUACCAACCAACCAACCAACCUCCCCACAACCAAACAACAUCCAAUCCUUUCUGACAGGGACACAACCGAGCAACCAACCAACCUCCCCACAACCAAACAACAUCCAA